CUGUUCUCCAUUUUAUUAUUGUGACUGAGAUGUUGAAAGCUAUAUUUAAAGCUGUGCUGCACAAGUUGGGUCCUGAGACGCAUGCUGAGGCAAACUUCCUCAUUUCUCUGCCGAGAACUGGUUCUAUUUUUUAGUCCUGUCCCUUGCACUCAACAAGGAACUUGGAGAACUGGAGGAAGCAGGGCUGAAUGAGUGGCAUGAUUAUUGCAUAAAUAAUGCUGGAGGUGUGCAAGAAAUCCAGUCCAGAGGGAGCAAGAGGCACUGCCACUGCUGCAAAUGUCUGAGCACACUAACUGAAUAGUAAUAGGGCAGCCCUGCACCAGCCAAGGAGCUAGAAUGGGAGACUUUCCAUGAAAGGGAAAUAGUUAACUCAGAACUGUAAUUGACAAAUGGUGUCUGGAACUGAAGAAGGCUAUAGAAAUUUAUACUGUGCCAUCCAGUGAGUCGGAGAUUUUGGAUUUCUCUGAUUCUGAGCUGGCAUUCUUUGCUGUUCAGUUGUAUGGUAGUGCUGUGGUAAUUUUACUAAAUGGGUGUCAGUGUUUUAUCUGUUUACCUCCUCUUUAAAUUUUAUUUGGCUGG